rnacentral:rRNA from 1 species
AUUGAACGCUUGCGGCAGGCCUAACACAUGCAAGUCGAGCGAGCGGCGGACGGGUGAGUAAUGUAUGGGGACUGCCCGAUAGAGGGGGAUAACUACUGGAAACGGUGGCUAAUACCGCAUACUAUCGGAUAACCCAUAUGGGAUUAGCUAGUAGGUGGGGUAAAGGCUCACCGAGGCGACGAUCUCUAGCUGGUCUGAGUGGAUGGUCAGCCACAAUGGGACUGAGACACGGCGGAGCGUCCUAAGGGGGCAGCAGUGGGAAAUAUGGCACAGUGGGAGCAAGCCUGAUGCAGCCAGGCCGGGUGUAUGAAGAUGGCCUUAGGGUUGUAAAGUACUUUCAGCGGGGAGGCGGUGCCCGCAGAUGAAGCACCGGCUAACUCCGUGCCAGCAGCCGCGGUAAUAC